UAGGAGAGGUGUCGCAGAGGAUGGGAAAAAGGUUUAAGAUACAACUUUGCGAAAGUCGUUGUCGUGCUGUCCCGCAGUUCUGUGAAUUCAAUAGGAAAACAACAACAGAAACCUUUCUUAAACUAUGGAGUAACAAUGUGGGGUCAAAAGAAAAAAAAUGGCAACAGUGAAAAGCUGCCGAACCCAGCCGCGCCAACCUAGGUUGUUUCUCACUACUGCUGCCUACACUGAAUCCUACCGCGUCGCUGCAGCUGUGGCUGUGAGGACACCCGUGCCCUUUGUACUGCCAUGCCCUCGGUGUCACACGAGGCCAGCCAACACUGCCUGAAACACCUUGG
rnacentral:lncRNA from 1 species